AAUUGAGCCGCAAUGGUUUUCG
rnacentral:miRNA from 1 species